AUUCAGAUUUCACUAUUUCAGAGUCAGCCAGACCAUGAUUGAGCUUAAGGAUUGUGCUGCUGAUGCGGCCUGUGCAGUUCCGGGAGAAAGUCACUGUCUUGGGCAUUGCGGUCUGGUAUCAGGUCUGGAUGAUCCUUGCCUGACUCCGGGUUUGUGUACACCUCAAUCCGACUCCCUGUCCGGUACCGAGGCCGCGGUGGUGCAGCGCUUGUGGACGAUCCAUCAACAUCCUGAAAGGUCAACACUUCACCAAGCUGGGAAAAUUGAUCCUGAUAGUCAUUCCCAGAGUCAGCCAGACCAUGAUUGAGCUUAAGGAUUGUGCUGCGGAUGCGGCCUGUGCAGUUCCGGGAGAAAGUCACUGUCUUGGGCAUUGCGGUCUGGUAUCAGGUCUGGAUGAUCCUUGCCUGACUCCGGGUUUGUGUACACCUCAAUCCGACUCCCUGUCCGGUACCAUGGCCGCAGUGGUGCAGCCCUUGUGGACGAUCCAUCGACAUCCUGAAAGGUCAACACUUCACCAAGCUGGGAAAAUUGAUCCUGAUAGUCAUCCCCAGGUAGUGAAAUGAAUGUACACUGAACUACAGAGGAAUCACACCCAAAUGACUUUUCUGACAUUAGUGUGGCCCCUCGGGCAGGAAUUCCUUAGCAAACAUGCUUUUUUGCAUGGGGACUGUGGCAUUUUUGCAAAACUUAAGCUUUCAACGCUGGAUUUUAAAGAGAACACUUAAUAAAAUGAAGCCAACAGGACUUAUUUUAAUGAGAGAGACUAUCUGGAUGAGCAACAAAUGUCACAUUGUGUCGUAAGCUGUUGAAGGAGCGAUUUGCGCCAUUUCAAGUGUUAAUUUUGGGUAGCAGGCUUGUAUCGGCUUGAAAGCUGCAAAUUAUUCCUCUCAUCAUGAUAGCAUUAAUUAUUUUAAUUGCAAUGUGUAUGUUUAGAUUGUAAGUGAAGCUUUUAAUAAUAAUUUUCUUGAAAAACAUGAUUUUAUAUGCUGUCAGUGAGUUUUUUUGUGUGAAAAAAGUGCUUAAAAUAAAAAAAAGUCUCCUUUUUCAUCAAGAAAAGUACACUGAUUCACAAUCAAUACAUUUAUUUGGGCCUUUUGCUGAUAUAUUGGUGAAUUUCGCAUGCAAUGAUCCCAGUUUUUGCCAUAAAAGUUACGCGUAACAAUAAUUAGAGACACAAAAUCAGCUGUCGUCACUUAGACUAAAAAUCAUGCAUUCCGACUUGACUGCGGCCAAUUUAGUCACCGCUUUAAACGGCCAUUUUAAGGCCUUUUCCCCCCUCCGAAUGCACUGAAAUUGCAUAUUCAUUGUGGAAAUAGUUUAAAUCUCAUGUGGAGAAAGUUUGAAAAGGAUAGGACAAAGUUGAGUUCCCUUAAAGGUUACAUUACACUAAAUCAUUGUGUAUCCCUCCGUGGUCCAUUCGAAAGUAGUGCCUAUUUCUAAAGAGUUCCUUUUCUCUUCUUGAAUAUAAGCCAUUUAACAAUGUGAGACAUGUCUUUUGUGGUUAUUUGUAAUAUCCUGUAUGUGUCUGGAGUACUUUGAUGCCUUGGAUUGGAAGCUAACUUAAAAGAUGGACUUUUGAGGGUGUGUUUUCUAUUGUGUGGGGCUUUUGUCGAAAUUAGGAUUCCGAAACACGUUUUUCAACGGUGGGUUCAUUCGACAGCGAUUUACUUUCUUAGAAGUUGCGAGACGGUAUGUUUUUGAUUGCAAUUAUUGGAAGAGGACAGAUCCAUCUUUAAAAUGAUACCAGGUUCGGAAAAAUUGAUACGUCGAAAAGGCAAGAAAAAUGCUGUGAAAGUUGUCAGUUUUAUAAUGGGACCCUAUGGGAAUCGGAAUUAGUGUAAUAUAACCUUAAAAAAGCACAUUUACUGCAAUGUCAAGGUCACAUGGAUUCGUCUGCAAUCGAGACAAGUAGAACAUGAAUUUUAAUGAAUGUUUUGAUGAUUUGGGUGCUAAAAUAGAUGAGAGAUGUCAAUAUUUUGGUUCAAAUGGAUGUUUUAGGUGGUUUUGGACUGUUCCGGAUGGGAGGGGGACCUGGUAUGGACAAGUAAGGGUUACAUUUCCAACAAAUCUUGAAUGUAAAUAUUAUUAUGUCCAAAGAUUGAAGUUUCAGGUGGAGAGCAAGAUGAAAAAUAUGCCAAAUCACAUGAAUGCAACCCAUUUAUGCCAUUUUUCUCUUUGUUUGUAGGCCUGACCAUUUGUCCCUUUUGCCGCAGACGGUCAACAAUCCGCUAGCUGUCUUGCUCUGACUGGUGCACUGGACAUGAUUUCAAUGAGAGUCAUCAUACUGAUUGUUUAAUUCAAACAUGAAUUUCAGUUUGUUCGUUAGAGUACUAACUUAGCUGUGUAUUUACAGUGGACGUAGUGGUGCGUCGCAUGCGGUAGACUAGGUAUUUCCAUAUAUACACUAUGUUUACAGAAUUGCGGCCGGUGAAGCAACAUAGCUGAUGAGUAAAUAGCGCUAGUUCUUCAGACAAAUAACUUUAUUUUCAACCUAUAAAGCAUAUUUAGCUGUAGGUGGGGCCAUUUAGCUGUAAGAUCUGGCUUUGGUUCUGUUAAGCCCUUAGAGUAAUGAAUUUCAGAGUGAAGACCAUAGCGCCUUUUCCUAGUCGAGUAUCGGGCAGCUGUAUGUCUUUUCAGAAAUGCACAUGUCUUCUUUAGUAUGUCAUUGUGAUUGCUUUUAAGAUAGGCAAUAAACUCAUAACCUUUAGAAAAAGGAGCAUCUGUAAAUUCAGAUUUCACUAUUUCAGAGUCAGCCAGACCAUGAUUGAGCUUAAGGAUUGUGCUGCGGAUGCGGCCUGUGCAGUUCCGGGAGAAAGUCACUGUCUUGGGCAUUGCGGUCUGGUAUCAGGUCUGGAUGAUCCUUGCCUGACUCCGGGUUUGUGUACACCUCAAUCCGACUCCCUGUCCGGUACCAUGGCCGCAGUGGUGCAGCCCUUGUGGACGAUCCAUCGACAUCCUGAAAGGUCAACACUUCACCAAGCUGGGAAAAUUGAUCCUGAUAGUCAUCCCCAGGUAGUGAAAUGAAUGUACACUGAACUACAGAGGAAUCACACCCAAAUGACUUUUCUGACAUUAGUGUGGCCCCUCGGGCAGGAAUUCCUUAGCAAACAUGCUUUUUUGCAUGGGGACUGUGGCAUUUUUGCAAAACUUAAGCUUUCAACGCUGGAUUUUAAAGAGAACACUUAAUAAAAUGAAGCCAACAGGACUUAUUUUAAUGAGAGAGACUAUCUGGAUGAGCAACAAAUGUCACAUUGUGUCGUAAGCUGUUGAAGGAGCGAUUUGCGCCAUUUCAAGUGUUAAUUUUGGGUAGCAGGCUUGUAUCGGCUUGAAAGCUGCAAAUUAUUCCUCUCAUCAUGAUAGCAUUAAUUAUUUUAAUUGCAAUGUGUAUGUUUAGAUUGUAAGUGAAGCUUUUAAUAAUAAUUUUCUUGAAAAACAUGAUUUUAUAUGCUGUCAGUGAGUUUUUUUGUGUGAAAAAAGUGCUUAAAAUAAUAAAAAAAGUCUCCUUUUUCAUCAAGAAAAGUACACUGAUUCACAAUCAAUACAUUUAUUUGGGCCUUUUGCUGAUAUAUUGGUGAAUUUCGCAUGCAAUGAUCCCAGUUUUUGCCAUAAAAGUUACGCGUAACAAUAAUUAGAGACACAAAAUCAGCUGUCGUCACUUAGACUAAAAAUCAUGCAUUCCGACUUGACUGCGGCCAAUUUAGUCACCGCUUUAAACGGCCAUUUUAAGGCCUUUUCCCCCCUCCGAAUGCACUGAAAUUGCAUAUUCAUUGUGGAAAUAGUUUAAAUCUCAUGUGGAGAAAGUUUGAAAAGGAUAGGACAAAGUUGAGUUCCCUUAAAGGUUACAUUACACUAAAUCAUUGUGUAUCCCUCCGUGGUCCAUUCGAAAGUAGUGCCUAUUUCUAAAGAGUUCCUUUUCUCUUCUUGAAUAUAAGCCAUUUAACAAUGUGAGACAUGUCUUUUGUGGUUAUUUGUAAUAUCCUGUAUGUGUCUGGAGUACUUUGAUGCCUUGGAUUGGAAGCUAACUUAAAAGAUGGACUUUUGAGGGUGUGUUUUCUAUUGUGUGGGGCUUUUGUCGAAAUUAGGAUUCCGAAACACGUUUUUCAACGGUGGGUUCAUUCGACAGCGAUUUACUUUCUUAGAAGUUGCGAGACGGUAUGUUUUUGAUUGCAAUUAUUGGAAGAGGACAGAUCCAUCUUUAAAAUGAUACCAGGUUCGGAAAAAUUGAUACGUCGAAAAGGCAAGAAAAAUGCUGUGAAAGUUGUCAGUUUUAUAAUGGGACCCUAUGGGAAUCGGAAUUAGUGUAAUAUAACCUUAAAAAAGCACAUUUACUGCAAUGUCAAGGUCACAUUGAUUCGUCUGCAAUCGAGACAAGUAGAACAUGAAUUUUAAUGAAUGUUUUGAUGAUUUGGGUGCUAAAAUAGAUGAGAGAUGUCAAUAUUUUGGUUCAAAUGGAUGUUUUAGGUGGUUUUGGACUGUUCCGGAUGGGAGGGGGACCUGGUAUGGACAAGUAAGGGUUACAUUUCCAACAAAUCUUGAAUGUAAAUAUUAUUAUGUCCAAAGAUUGAAGUUUCAGGUGGAGAGCAAGAUGAAAAAUAUGCCAAAUCACAUGAAUGCAACCCAUUUAUGCCAUUUUUCUCUUUGUUUGUAGGCCUGACCAUUUGUCCCUUUUGCCGCAGACGGUCAACAAUCCGCUAGCUGUCUUGCUCUGACUGGUGCACUGGACAUGAUUUCAAUGAGAGUCAUCAUACUGAUUGUUUAAUUCAAACAUGAAUUUCAGUUUGUUCGUUAGAGUACUAACUUAGCUGUGUAUUUACAGUGGACGUAGUGGUGCGUCGCAUGCGGUAGACUAGGUAUUUCCAUAUAUACACUAUGUUUACAGAAUUGCGGCCGGUGAAGCAACAUAGCUGAUGAGUAAAUAGCGCUAGUUCUUCAGACAAAUAACUUUAUUUUCAACCUAUAAAGCAUAUUUAGCUGUAGGUGGGGCCAUUUAGCUGUAAGAUCUGGCUUUGGUUCUGUUAAGCCCUUAGAGUAAUGAAUUUCAGAGUGAAGACCAUAGCGCCUUUUCCUAGUCGAGUAUCGGGCAGCUGUAUGUCUUUUCAGAAAUGCACAUGUCUUCUUUAGUAUGUCAUUGUGAUUGCUUUUAAGAUAGGCAAUAAACUCAUAACCUUUAGAAAAAGGAGCAUCUGUAAAUUCAGAUUUCACUAUUUCAGAGUCAGCCAGACCAUGAUUGAGCUUAAGGAUUGUGCUGCGGAUGCGGCCUGUGCAGUUCCGGGAGAAAGUCACUGUCUUGGGCAUUGCGGUCUGGUAUCAGGUCUGGAUGAUCCUUGCCUGACUCCGGGUUUGUGUACACCUCAAUCCGACUCCCUGUCCGGUACCAUGGCCGCAGUGGUGCAGCCCUUGUGGACGAUCCAUCGACAUCCUGAAAGGUCAACACUUCACCAAGCUGGGAAAAUUGAUCCUGAUAGUCAUCCCCAGAGUCAGCCAGACCAUGAUUGAGCUUAAGGAUUGUGCUGCGGAUGCGGCCUGUGCAGUUCCGGGAGAAAGUCACUGUCUUGGGCAUUGCGGUCUGGUAUCAGGUCUGGAUGAUCCUUGCCUGACUCCGGGUUUGUGUACACCUCAAUCCGACUCCCUGUCCGGUACCAUGGCCGCAGUGGUGCAGCCCUUGUGGACGAUCCAUCGACAUCCUGAAAGGUCAACACUUCACCAAGCUGGGAAAAUUGAUCCUGAUAGUCAUCCCCAGGUAGUGAAAUGAAUGUACACUGAACUACAGAGGAAUCACACCCAAAUGACUUUUCUGACAUUAGUGUGGCCCCUCGGGCAGGAAUUCCUUAGCAAACAUGCUUUUUUGCAUGGGGACUGUGGCAUUUUUGCAAAACUUAAGCUUUCAACGCUGGAUUUUAAAGAGAACACUUAAUAAAAUGAAGCCAACAGGACUUAUUUUAAUGAGAGAGACUAUCUGGAUGAGCAACAAAUGUCACAUUGUGUCGUAAGCUGUUGAAGGAGCGAUUUGCGCCAUUUCAAGUGUUAAUUUUGGGUAGCAGGCUUGUAUCGGCUUGAAAGCUGCAAAUUAUUCCUCUCAUCAUGAUAGCAUUAAUUAUUUUAAUUGCAAUGUGUAUGUUUAGAUUGUAAGUGAAGCUUUUAAUAAUAAUUUUCUUGAAAAACAUGAUUUUAUAUGCUGUCAGUGAGUUUUUUUGUGUGAAAAAAGUGCUUAAAAUAAAAAAAAGUCUCCUUUUUCAUCAAGAAAAGUACACUGAUUCACAAUCAAUACAUUUAUUUGGGCCUUUUGCUGAUAUAUUGGUGAAUUUCGCAUGCAAUGAUCCCAGUUUUUGCCAUAAAAGUUACGCGUAACAAUAAUUAGAGACACAAAAUCAGCUGUCGUCACUUAGACUAAAAAUCAUGCAUUCCGACUUGACUGCGGCCAAUUUAGUCACCGCUUUAAACGGCCAUUUUAAGGCCUUUUCCCCCCUCCGAAUGCACUGAAAUUGCAUAUUCAUUGUGGAAAUAGUUUAAAUCUCAUGUGGAGAAAGUUUGAAAAGGAUAGGACAAAGUUGAGUUCCCUUAAAGGUUACAUUACACUAAAUCAUUGUGUAUCCCUCCGUGGUCCAUUCGAAAGUAGUGCCUAUUUCUAAAGAGUUCCUUUUCUCUUCUUGAAUAUAAGCCAUUUAACAAUGUGAGACAUGUCUUUUGUGGUUAUUUGUAAUAUCCUGUAUGUGUCUGGAGUACUUUGAUGCCUUGGAUUGGAAGCUAACUUAAAAGAUGGACUUUUGAGGGUGUGUUUUCUAUUGUGUGGGGCUUUUGUCGAAAUUAGGAUUCCGAAACACGUUUUUCAACGGUGGGUUCAUUCGACAGCGAUUUACUUUCUUAGAAGUUGCGAGACGGUAUGUUUUUGAUUGCAAUUAUUGGAAGAGGACAGAUCCAUCUUUAAAAUGAUACCAGGUUCGGAAAAAUUGAUACGUCGAAAAGGCAAGAAAAAUGCUGUGAAAGUUGUCAGUUUUAUAAUGGGACCCUAUGGGAAUCGGAAUUAGUGUAAUAUAACCUUAAAAAAGCACAUUUACUGCAAUGUCAAGGUCACAUUGAUUCGUCUGCAAUCGAGACAAGUAGAACAUGAAUUUUAAUGAAUGUUUUGAUGAUUUGGGUGCUAAAAUAGAUGAGAGAUGUCAAUAUUUUGGUUCAAAUGGAUGUUUUAGGUGGUUUUGGACUGUUCCGGAUGGGAGGGGGACCUGGUAUGGACAAGUAAGGGUUACAUUUCCAACAAAUCUUGAAUGUAAAUAUUAUUAUGUCCAAAGAUUGAAGUUUCAGGUGGAGAGCAAGAUGAAAAAUAUGCCAAAUCACAUGAAUGCAACCCAUUUAUGCCAUUUUUCUCUUUGUUUGUAGGCCUGACCAUUUGUCCCUUUUGCCGCAGACGGUCAACAAUCCGCUAGCUGUCUUGCUCUGACUGGUGCACUGGACAUGAUUUCAAUGAGAGUCAUCAUACUGAUUGUUUAAUUCAAACAUGAAUUUCAGUUUGUUCGUUAGAGUACUAACUUAGCUGUGUAUUUACAGUGGACGUAGUGGUGCGUCGCAUGCGGUAGACUAGGUAUUUCCAUAUAUACACUAUGUUUACAGAAUUGCGGCCGGUGAAGCAACAUAGCUGAUGAGUAAAUAGCGCUAGUUCUUCAGACAAAUAACUUUAUUUUCAACCUAUAAAGCAUAUUUAGCUGUAGGUGGGGCCAUUUAGCUGUAAGAUCUGGCUUUGGUUCUGUUAAGCCCUUAGAGUAAUGAAUUUCAGAGUGAAGACCAUAGCGCCUUUUCCUAGUCGAGUAUCGGGCAGCUGUAUGUCUUUUCAGAAAUGCACAUGUCUUCUUUAGUAUGUCAUUGUGAUUGCUUUUAAGAUAGGCAAUAAACUCAUAACCUUUAGAAAAAGGAGCAUCUGUAAAUUCAGAUUUCACUAUUUCAGAGUCAGCCAGACCAUGAUUGAGCUUAAGGAUUGUGCUGCGGAUGCGGCCUGUGCAGUUCCGGGAGAAAGUCACUGUCUUGGGCAUUGCGGUCUGGUAUCAGGUCUGGAUGAUCCUUGCCUGACUCCGGGUUUGUGUACACCUCAAUCCGACUCCCUGUCCGGUACCAUGGCCGCAGUGGUGCAGCCCUUGUGGACGAUCCAUCGACAUCCUGAAAGGUCAACACUUCACCAAGCUGGGAAAAUUGAUCCUGAUAGUCAUCCCCAGGUAGUGAAAUGAAUGUACACUGAACUACAGAGGAAUCACACCCAAAUGACUUUUCUGACAUUAGUGUGGCCCCUCGGGCAGGAAUUCCUUAGCAAACAUGCUUUUUUGCAUGGGGACUGUGGCAUUUUUGCAAAACUUAAGCUUUCAACGCUGGAUUUUAAAGAGAACACUUAAUAAAAUGAAGCCAACAGGACUUAUUUUAAUGAGAGAGACUAUCUGGAUGAGCAACAAAUGUCACAUUGUGUCGUAAGCUGUUGAAGGAGCGAUUUGCGCCAUUUCAAGUGUUAAUUUUGGGUAGCAGGCUUGUAUCGGCUUGAAAGCUGCAAAUUAUUCCUCUCAUCAUGAUAGCAUUAAUUAUUUUAAUUGCAAUGUGUAUGUUUAGAUUGUAAGUGAAGCUUUUAAUAAUAAUUUUCUUGAAAAACAUGA